rnacentral:rRNA from 1 species
AGUUUGAUCCUGGCUCAGAACGAACGCUGGCGGCAGGCUUAACACAUGCAAGUCGAACGAGCUCUUCGGAGCUAGUGGCAGACGGGUGAGUAACGCGUGGGAAUCUACCCAGUUCUCUGGAAUAACUGAUGGAAACGUCAGCUAAUACCGGAUACGCCCUUUUGGGGAAAGAUUUAUCGGGAUUGGAUGAGCCCGCGUAAGAUUAGCUAGUUGGUGGGGUAACGGCCUACCAAGGCGACGAUCUUUAGCUGGUCUGAGAGGAUGAUCAGCCACACUGGGACUGAGACACGGCCCAGACUCCUACGGGAGGCAGCAGUGGGGAAUAUUGGACAAUGGGGGCAACCCUGAUCCAGCCAUGCCGCGUGAGUGAUGAAGGCCUUAGGGUUGUAAAGCUCUUUCACCGGUGAAGAUAAUGACGGUAACCGGAGAAGAAGCCCCGGCUAACUUCGUGCCAGCAGCCGCGGUAAUACGAAGGGGGCUAGCGUUGUUCGGAAUUACUGGGCGUAAAGCGCACGUAGGCGGAUAUUUAAGUCAGGGGUGAAAUCCCGGAGCUCAACUCCGGAACUGCCUUUGAUACUGGAUAUCUAGAGACCGAGAGAGGUAAGUGGAACUCCUAGUGUAGAGGUGGAAUUCGUAGAUAUUAGGAAGAACACCAGUGGCGAAGGCGGCUAACUGGCUCGGAACUGACGCUGAGGUGCG